rnacentral:lncRNA from 1 species
AUCUGACUCCCAAAUUUGCAAUUAUUAACCUCUAGGUUUUCAGACACUCAAGACAAAACAAAAAAAUGCACAUUUAAAACAACAUACAACUAUAAGUUCAUCUACAGUGAACAUGUGAUAACUUCAGUUCUCUACAGACAGAAUCCUAGGAAACUUCAAUUCUCAGGGACAAACACAGAAGGCAAAAUCUUGGAAGAGAUAAAUAGAAGGACUAACCAGAAAGUUGUGAAGGAAACCAAGAGAGAGUUGCAUUGAAAACCCAAGGGAGUAGAAAAUAUCAACAGAAGCUGAGUGCCAAGAAGUACAAUAAAUUAAAGGCAAAAGUAAAUAAAUAAAUACAUAAAUACAUAAAUAUAAUUGGGUUUCAUAAUCGGGAGGUCAUUAGAAAGAGUUCUACUUAGUUGUAUAAUUUUGGUUUUGGCAUGUUUGUCUUUACUUAGUUCAUGCUAAUAAAUAUCAGACUAAAAAUAUCUUUUUAAGCUCAGACUAAAAAAAAUCAACUUUUUUAGUCUGAAUGGCAAGAGGUUAUAGGCAGAAUAAAGAGAUUGAAGAGAGAAUGGAGGGAAAAUUGAUAAAGCAAAAGGAAUCAAGAUGAAAAUUUACAAAGAUAGAAGAAGAAUGAAGUUCAAAAUACAAAUGCCUGGGUUGGCUUUGGACAAAAGAAGCACUGCUUCAUUUGAAGUUGGGCAGCAACAGGAAUAGAAUAUUCCAGACAGGAGCUGUUCCUUUAACCUGGAUCACAGAAUGGAAUUUCAAGUGAAGCAGACCUUUAGUCAACCCAUAGACCUAC